UGCCAGUGUCCACUGGGGUGGGAAGUUCUAGGUGGACCGUGCUGCUCAUGUUUACGGUUGCAGAUUGUGUGUGGCACACACAGGUGUCUUUUCUCAUGUCGCUGGUCUGCUGUUUCUCCAGCACAGCACCUGCCACAGGUGAGGAUGCGGUCAUCAGAGAGCUGUCCUAGCAGGUCCCAGCUAGAAACAAGGCCUGCUCAAGAGGUACCACCUGUCCUCUCUCUGCACUUAGGAAACACAGCUUUUCAUUUUAAAGCUGAGGAAUGGUAAACGAAGAGGGAGAACUAGGAAUAUGAGUGGCAGGUUGGGUUACCAGUGGUGUCGGGUCUGGGCCGUGCCCAGCUGGUCAUGUGUGACAUCUGCUGCCACUGGCAGGUGGGGCAGAGCCUGGAGUGGCUACGUGAGGGAGGUGCUAUCAGCUGCUCUUGAAAUGACCUCCAGACCUGCUUCCACACUGUUUCUUCUCAUUAAUGGACAUGAUCCACAAAGGUGGCGUCAAACUAUUUUUCCUUCUGGCUACUUUUGUAAGCCCCCCCUCUUUUGAUGUAGCUUUUGUGUGUUCUUACUGUGGUAAAACACACAACGUAAAGUUUACCAUUGUAGCUGUUUUUAAGUGUGCAGUUCAGUGGUGUGAAGUACAUUCCAUUGCUGUGCAGUAUCCACACACCUUUACUGUCGUCCCAGAUAGACAGUCACCUAGAGGUGACGGCUCACCUCACUCGGCAUCAUGCCCUCCGGGUCCACCCGAGCUGCAGUGUGUCAGGAUAACCACCCUCCUCAAGGCCAAGUGCUGGUCUGUGGUGUGGAUGGACCCUGCCCUGUGUGUCUUCCACCUGCCACGGGCACGGGCGGCUGUCGUGAAUCGUGCUGCUGGAACGUGGGCAUGCAGAUAGCUUUUGAUUCCAGCUGUGUGGGGUCCAGUUUUAAUUCUGAUAUGGUUCCUAGAUCUUCUCGUGUCGCCCAUGAGGGAGACACAUUUCUCACCGAGCCUUUAGUUCUAAGAGAGCCAUUGAAUCGUGUACUGUUUUCCCUGUAAAGUGUCCUCACUGUUUGGGAUGGAGUGUCUGUUGCCAGCAUGUGGACGGCAGGCUUGGACUGUGACCAAGGCCAAAACCAUGUGUAGCCUCUCAUUUUGAAAUAAUUUCAGACUCACAUAAGCAGUCAAGAGAGUGCCCUCUGACUCCCCCAAGCUUGCCGCAGGCUGGCACAGACAUGAUGACAUGGGUUGUCCCCAAGGGUGGCCUCUUGCCCCUUGCCUGUGCCUCUUUGGCUGCAGGGUGAGUGUGGCCUCACAUGUCCCAUUUCCUCAUCCCACUACUGCGUCUCCUCCAGCUGUGCCUGUUUUUGGGUCUCUGUGAUGAGACACCUUCACAGGCCGUCCCUGUUUAAUGGGAUCUCCACAUUGAGGCCAUGCCAUGUCUGCACGGUUGGGCCGCUCUUGUGCUCGUGGUGGGAAUGCCGCUGCGUGCAGUAUUGUAGCACCUGGCCCUGGUGCCGGCAUCUGGACUGAGGUCGCCACAUGGCGUGGUGAGGCCUUUUCUUGUGCCCUGUUGUGCAGGCCAGAUGGACUGAUGUGUGUGGGAGCAUGUUGUAAGUUCUGAAAGCCCUUGGGGUUUAAGAUGAAAGAGGCCUUCUGACAGCUGAGGAGGGUGCUGCCAGCGGGCCACUAGAAAGGCAGUUGCACCCAGAGCUGCCCCACCACCCUCUCCCUCUGCCGUUUAGCAUUGUCUGCACAGGGACUGUUUAUGGCAUAAGUGGCAAGGGCUGAAGAGUCUCCAUCCCUUGAAGAGCAAAUCUUUCCGGGAAGGAUGUUUCCAGAGAGCUCAGGGUCCUUGGAUGUGUAAACUGAGUUGGGCUCAGACUCUGAAGGUAGCUGUUGAGAAAGACACCCUCAGACAGGGCCCUUCAAGAGCACCUUCCCAGGGAGCCCUUGUCCCACACCGCUUUUCUGGGGGCAUGUGUGCUAGACCCGGCUCUGACUGCUCCCCCUGUCGCAUGCCCCAGUUGUGAUCAGCUAGACCUGCUGUUUUGUAGUUUGAGAUGUUAUCCUCUGGGGUCCUGAGCUUCUAAGAAGUCAUAUCACAUUGUAUCUCUUUUGAAUGACUUUACGUGGUGUUUCUCCUGCAUGUGGCUUUGUGAUUGCUUCUGUGGGUGGUUUUAGAGUCCGGGAGAAGUACAGAAGCCCUCCAGGGUUCUGGCCACAGGGUCUCGUGACCCUUGAGGGUCAAGCGGGUGGCAGCUGCCAUGGGCUGGGCCUGGAGAGGUCAAUCCUUCAGCUGUGACAGAGCACACAGGGGCCAGCACCCAGCAGUCGAGUCUCUGCUCUCCAAAGUGCCAGGUUUUAAUGAUAACUUCUGGUUGACUUCUUAAAAGAAUGAAUAAUAUUUGUGGUACAGGCAGGCCUUGGAGGUCUUACAGAGCGGGUCGGAUGGGCACUUUGGCAGCCAGAACACAGUCUGUUGUCUGUUGAGUGCGUGGUAGCCUCGUGCCUGAAUGCGCUGUGUGCCCGCCUCAGUUAGAAACACUUUGCUACAAAUGCCUCUGGGCCUUCAGCGAGUCGUGCUCUUUUCACUGGGGGGGUCUUGUCCUGCUAUGAAUGGCGGCUGAUCGGGGGGUGGUUGCUGAAGGCUGGGGUGGCCGUGGCCUUUUCCUAAAAUAGGACAGUGAAGUUUGCCACAUCGAUGCCUUCUUCCUGUAAUGAACAACUUUUCUAGCCUGCGAUGCUGUUUGGUAGCAUUUUGCCCACAGCAGGACUUCCAGCAUUGAGGUCAGUCCUCUCAAACCUGCCGCCAGUAGACAUGCCAGAUGCAGGGUUGCUGCCAACCUUCCAUUUGUAGAACUGCAGUGCCUGCGAAGUGCAGUGAAAGGGAGUUUGCCUACAUACGAGGACAAGGGAGGACUUUUUGAAGGUUGUCAGAUGACUAGUGGGCUGAGCAGACUUGAUGUGUCCUCAAGUCCCAAUGUCUGGCAGGUGGAGUAACGUUCACACUUGGCCUUCAGCUCCUGUAGGUGCCCAUCUACUUGUUGGGCCUCCGCUCGUGGGCUGUGGAGGGACGUUGUGGGGUGCAUGCCAGUCCCCUUGUCCCUGAGCCCUGUUUUAUGGUGUGUAAAAUAGUGGCAAAGUGCAUGGUCUGGCCUCUGAUUUUGAGAUUGGUGUGUGGUAGAGUGCCAUUCCAGGCGGUGGGGGAUUCCCAGGUAAGGCUCCACGCGGCUCUCACGGAGCCCUCGGCACUGCCUGCAUAUGUGGCUUCUUGCACUGGAGGACAGACACGACCUGUUUGGGCAUCUCGCCCAUCAGGAAGCGUUGGCCAGAUGGCAGCUUGCUCUGAGCCAAACCCCUCUGCUGGUGUGAGAGAGCUGCUUCCGCCCCAGGACUUGAUCGUGCCUGGGAACCCCUGACAUGCAAGGCCAGCAGCUAAUGAGCCCUUUUGUAGCAGACACAGCCGAGCAUUCUCAGCCCCUCGGUAUGUCUGGGAGCCUCUGUUUUCUUGGGGGCGCAGUCUGCUCAUUGACGUGCAGAGCACGGAGCAGAUGCCGUGCUGGUCGUGGGAAAAGCGCACCAGGGAAGAGGAAUCCUGGUUCUUGGGUCAGGCAGAGGUGGCCAAACAUGGGACUGUCCCUGCGCCCCAGGGUGUGGGCCCCACCUGGCUGAGUCGUCUGUGGACAGUCGCCACUUGACAGUUGCUCUGCAGAAAGGCUUUGCACCGUGUGCUGCGCAGCGGGUGUUGUGUCUCAGCUGCACCGGGAGUAUGAGGGCUGUGGACUCUUGGUUCUGCACAGUCUUUAGGACCUGCUGCCAUUCAUGGGAACUUUUUCCUGUUGACCUGUGCCCCACUAUAAGCUGUAAGGCUGUGGUUGGGGUUCAUUUUUGCCUGCAGAUGGUUGGCCAAUGGCCUUAGUACCAUCUGUUGAAAACACUGUCCUUUCUCCACUGAACUGCUUUGGUGUUUUGUCAGAGCUUAGCUGGGUGUGUUUGAGUCUGUUUCUGGCUCUCAAGGUGUUGGUCUAUGAGUCUGUCCCUCCACCACAUUACAGCCUUGUCCCCAAGCUACACAUUGGGCCUGAAAGGAGGGUCAAGUGCCCCCCCCCGCUUAGCUCUUCCUGCCCAGCAUUGCUGAGGCUGUUCUUUGCCCCCACAUAAUUUUUAGGAUAAGCUUGUCCGUAACAUCAACCUUAAAAAUGGAAGUUAUUUUAUCAGCAUAAAUGGGUUUAGCAGACAGCAGAGAAUUGCCACUGGGGACAUAGGCCAGUUCCACAAAGGAAAGGAACCUGCCUUUGUGGAGGAGGAGGAUCAGAGGGGCUGCUUGCGGGAAGCCUGUUGGAGGAAAGCCGGGGUCUAGGGACGACCACAGGGGUGCCAUGCGGACCUUUCCCCCUCAGCGGGUUGCUGUUCCCCUGCCCCAGUCAUCCAGGUGGAGGGGGGCGGCCCCCCUUCUGGCCUCCCACUCCAUUUUGAGGAGACUUCCCUCUACUAAUUUUAGCAACACCUGCCAAAAAGCCUUGCUGUGAUACCGGGAGGCGCACACCCGGUAGGCUAGGGGAUCCAGAAUCGUGGCAGUACCUCAUGCUGGUGAGGACGUGAGCCUGGAUUCCCAUCUUGCGAGCCUGGGCUGGGCACAGAUUGAGUGCAAGUAGCCGCAACAGCACAGCUCAGGGAGAUGGGAGCUGAUGCAGCGCUGGUGGGGUGUGAACAGUGCAGCUGCCCCAGGAACAGCCGUUAGCUUCUGACGGGCUAAACGUACGAGCAGCAGGUACCACCGUCGGGUGCUCAUCCCAGAGCAGGGGCACUCGGCCCUGUGCACCAGUGCCCGUGUGUCUGUAAUGGCUGAACGCCGGGAACAGCCCAGCUGUCCUUCAGUGGAGCUCCAUGUGCUGUCGUGGGGAGUUCCCUGUUGUGGGGGCCCCUGUCGUGCUCAGCGCCACACAGGGGAAUCGUGCGGACAGAGCCAAGCUCAACAGGCCUCAAGUAUGAUUGAGUUUACGUGAGGUUGGAGGACAGGUGAGUGUUUGACUGCAGUUAGAAAGGUGGGGAUGGGGAGUGCUUGAGGGAUGUUGUUGGUGGGGAGUCUGUCUCGAGUGAGGGGGAGGUUACCGAAUCUGCAUAUGAUAAAAUUACAGAGAAAUGAGUCCAUUUGAGAUUGGGGCAUCUGUAGGGCAUGUGGCUGUCUGGCCUUGGACUCCUUGUGAUGCAAGCCAGCCAAGAGGACCUCUCUGUCCUGCCUCUGCAGCCUGCUGCCUAUCUGUAACUGUCAAAAUACAAAGUCUCUAAAAUGUAAUGACCCAGCCCCAGAAGGCCUGUGUCCUGUAGUCCUGUGACCCUCACAGGCAUGGAGCGAGGGGCAGCCCCUGGGCGGCAGAGGUUGGCCGUGAGGGUGGACCUCGCUCACACUGCGUUCACCCUGGUCUUGCUGCGGUUUUCUUCACCCAUUGUUCCCACUGUUUUCAGCAUUUUUUCACUGUUUAUGUAACUUCAGAAUUCGGUAUUCACAGCCUCGGCUGUAGAAGGAAAGAAAGCCUCUCAGAAAUCUGCCAUGUGCCCUGGAAGUGCUACCACUGGUUCUCGGCCCCUUUUGUCCCAGGGGACCUGGGAGUAAAGCUAUGUCUGUCCAGGGCCUCUGCCUCCAGCCAGCCCCUUGUUCUCAUGGCAGAGCUUCACCUUCCUAAAACUGACAUACCUGCUGGGUGCCUGAGUUUCUCUUAAAAGUCAGGGUUGUCCUAAGACUUCACCUCUGUGUCACUAGAGGGGAUGUCCUGCUGUACCCCGUCUUGACACAAGUGAGACUGACUCCUCGUGGAGUUCUGACAGUCACAUCCCAGGGUGCAGAACCCCAGCCAGUGAUGUCUCAGCUGUGAGAGCUGAUCUUUGACGUUCCACGGUGAUUUCCUCAGGCCUGGGAGCGGGCUGUGCCGUCCUGCUAGCUGCUGCUCCGUAAUGGGAUCUGGCCUGGUGUGCUCUCCCCAGCUCCUGGCUGCCAUCACAGGACCUGGGGUGGAGUGAUGACAUCCUGCUGACAGUUGUCAGGGCUUAAUUCUGUAAUAUUUCUUCUAAAUCUCACUUUUUAAAAAAAUUUUCACUGUUAAAAAGAUUUUGUAGGUGGUUUAAAAUUUUAUUUGUGAAUUUAUUAGGGACUUUUUAAAAGUUAGCUAAAGAUAGAUCAUGGCAUCUUUAUUUUUGAACUGUGUAAUAGAACUUUCCAAUGUCCACAAAGGCAGAGAGAGACAUGCGUUAGCCUGUGUCCCAGGCUACCUUGGGUCCCAGCCGUCCACACCUUCUCCAGUCCACCCAGUGGGUUAUUUUAAAGCAAACCCAAAGCUCUGAAUCCCACAUUCUCUGAAUGCUACACCCUCUGAAAGUAUUUCUUUACCUUCAGAAAAUACUUAAGCACUUUAAAACACUGAUUAAAAAUAAACUCUUUGUACUACCUAA